rnacentral:lncRNA from 1 species
GGAACUCACACUUCGCUCAAUAUAAAACUGUCCGAAGGCCGGACUACCCCCCCUCCUAUCAGACCCUUCUCCUCACUUCGUCUCUAACCUAAUCCAAGAUAAACCCUAGCCGCCCUCAUGCUCCACACCGCCUCCCGGAAAUUGCCUCACGGCGGUGUCGGUAGUCCAAAGCUCCCCAAAUUAACACCCUAGAUUCCCAUUCAUCUCCUCUUUAUGAAUCCCCAGCUCAUUCCCUUCAAAUCAUGGCUGAGUUCUUCAAAUCUUAGAUCGAAGAAUCUGGUAAGAACCCUAGCCGUUCCAAAUCACUCCAAACUCAUACUCUAUAAUCCUUACCCCUCUUUAAACCCUACACUACCCUUAGCCCCUUCCAAAUCGGCCCCAAUUUGCCCAAAUUUUAGAUCUUAGAUUCAGAAACCCUAAAAAACCUCUGCCUAAGUUGAUUCCGGGGUUUUAAUGGCUCCAAUCUACAUGAGUCGACUGCUUUUGAUGAGAACAGUUGACCCAUGUGGAUUGGACCUAUUGUUCGAGUUGCUUGACUCCAACCAAGUCCUCCGGUUCCAGUUGGUUCAAUUAUGGGUAAUUUUCUGAAUUUAUUUUUUUUCUAUAUCCUUUUCCAUUUUCUUUUUCUCUUGGUCAUCUUCUUCUCCUUUCCUUUUGUUGAUUCUUCAUGGUUUGGUCUGUCUGCAAUUGCAUGUUUUAGGUUUCUUAUUCUGUAUUUUUGUCAUUAGGAACUAAUCAUGUUAGUUUAGGUUUUAUUUUUACUUUAGUUUGUUGUUUACUUAGUUUCCCCCGUGAUUUUAUUUUUUGAUUUCUUUUCUUUUCUCUUAAUUACAUUUCUGACCGGUUGCAACUUUAGGUGUAAUUUCAGAUUUCAUUCACAUGUUUAGUUGUUUACUUAUUCAUUAGAAGCAUGUUUGAAUCUUGAAUACUCAAUUGCAUGAGUUUGAGUUAGUCACUACUGUUUUCCUUUGAUUUUUUUCCUGCUAUCUCUUUUUAUUUUUCUUCUCUUUAGAUGCCCGGAUUCAGUCUUUAGUUUAGUUGGGAAAACACCUUCCUUUGUGGAAUAAUUUAGAUUUUAGUUCUAGGUGGCAGUCUCAUUUUUUCUAGGCCUUUUUAUUCAAAUUUCUAAUAUUCCUUAGGUUUAUUUGUGUUUGUCCUAAUUUGAAAAUCAAUAGAAACUUUAUGGGUUUAUUUGAACUAAAGAGUUUAGGUAAAACUGUAAUAAGCAGGCUUUAGAAGGGUAAUUUAGGGUUUCUCUAUUUAGGAAAAAUCAAAAAAUUCUAGAACAGGGGCAUCUGGCCUCAUUUGGUUAGUGUGACGACCCGACCGGUCGUCUUAAGAAUUAACACGCCGAUCCCCUAUUAACUACUUUCACCAAGUUUAUUCUACUAUUUUGAUUUGCCGAGAUGUUCGAUUUUGAGUUUCAGAGAGUUUUGGGACACUUAUUACCUAAAUGAGAGCUUAAAUGUUGGAAAAGUUACUAUAGUCGGAAUAAUGUGGAGACGGCCUCGGAACGGAAAUCUGAUGGUUCUGUUAGCUUCGUUGUGUGAUUUUGGGGUUAGGAACGUGUUCGGAUUGUGUUUUGAAGGUCCGUAGCUAAUUUAGGCUUGAAAUGCAGAAAGUGGAAUUUUAGAAGUUUAUGGUUCGAUAGUGAGAUUGUGAUCUGAGGGCCGUAAUGGAAUUCCGAGAGUUGCAGUAGUUAUGUUGUGUCAUUUGGGAUGUGUGUGCAAACUUUCAGGUCAUUCGAACGUGUUUUGGUUGAGUUUUUGAUCGAAAACGAAAUUCAGAAGAUUUUUGAAACUUAGGCUUGAAUCCGAUGUGUUUUGGUUGUUUUUAUGUUGGUUGAGGUGUUUUGAAAAUUUGUACAAGUUUGAAUAAGGUUUUAGGAUAUGUUGAUGCCUUUGGUUGAGGUCCCGGGGACCUCGGGAUGAAUUCGGAUGGUUAACGGAGGAAAUUAUGGAGUUGAAGUUGCUGCAGCAGCUGGUCUUCAGGUAUUUUUGCAUCUGCAGUUUGGGGACCGUACAUGCGGCGCCACAAAAGCGGCUAAAGGGCCGCAAAAGCAGCUUUCUGUCAAUUCCUCAGGAACCGCAGAUGCGGUGAAGGGCUCGUAGAAGUAGAACCGCUCCUGCAGUUAGAGGUCCGCAGAUGCGGAAGCGGGCAUUUUAAUGAAUGUCGCAGAUGCAACGUUGUGUCCGCAGAAGCGGGACAGCAGAUGCAGUCCCAGGGGAACAAAUGCGGAAAUCGCUAGGCAGAACAUAUAAAUAGUUGUCUCGCGAAUUUGAGGGAUUCUUUCACCAUUUUCAUCCGGGUUUAAAGCUUUUGAGAGAGAUUUUUGAGGAAAACAAAGGGGAAUCACUUGGAGGCAACAUCCUUGACUUCAUAACUCGUUUUUAUGUGAUUAAUGACCUAAUUAGUGGUGAGAAAUUUGAAAAAAAUGGGUAAUUAGGGCUUGAGUUUAAGAGGAUUUUAAUUGAGGAUUUGAGGUGUCAUUUGGCCUCCAAUUUCAGUGUUCUUGUCAUGUAUAGACUCGUGAGAGUACGAGGUUUCUGAAAAUGUAAAUUUCACCUGAUUCCGAGAUGUGGGCUCGAGGGGCGUUUUGAUCAUUUUACAUAAUUUCGUGUAUUAGCUUAGAAUUUAAUUGUAGAAUCAGUUACUUGAAGUGUUAUUUACAUUAUACAAUUGAAUUGAAUAGAUUUAGGCCAUUUGGAGUCGAGUACUCAUGGCAAAGAUGUGGUGUUGGGUUGAUUUUGAGCCGGUUCGAGGUAAGUGGCUUGUCUAACCUUGUGUGGGAGACCUUUCCCUUAGGAUUGGUAUAUUUGGUAAUUGAAAUACCUUGUAUGUGAGGUGACGAGUGCGUACUUGUGCUAAUUGUUGGAAAUCCAAUUUUCUUUAAGUACUUACUAGUAUGUUUCCUUUCAUGUUUCUAUUACUUUCACUAUUAAGCCUGUUGUUAGCUUAGGAAAGCAUGUCUAAGUGACUUAAUUGCUUCAUUUGAUUUAACCUACCUUACUUGAAUUAUGUGCAACAUGCUAGGCUAGAAUCACUUAUUACCUUAAUAUGAAUUUUGUUAUUUCUGUUUAUCUUCCUGAUGUUGCUGUGUAUUUAUUUUGGGACUACGGAUGUGGGAUUCCGGUAGCUCCCCCUUGUCUGUUUACUUUGGGACUAUGGGUAAGAUUCCCGGUAGAUCCCUCUACACAUUUACUUCGGGACUACGGGUUAGAUUCCCGGUAGAUCCCCCUGCACAGUUAUAUGGAACUACGGGAAUGCACCUGGUAGAUUUCCCCCAGUAUUGGGCAUUUACAUUUGGGACUAUGGAACGGUCUGGUAGAUCCCCGCGCACUAUGAGUUGGACUAUGGGACGGGAUCCCGGGAGAUCCUUCGGACAUAUAUAUGAUGGACUACGGGACGGUAUCCCGGGAGAUUCACUGGAUAUGUAAAGAUGGGACUAUAAGACAGUAUCCUGGGAGAUCCCCCGAUUGUUACUAUUAAUGUUGAGCUGUAUUUCCUUUACAUGUUUACCGUGUUCUGUAUAAUUGUUGUUGUUAUGUAUAUCCUGUGUUAUUUUACUGCCGUACUUAUUUAUAUUGUUCUAUCAUAUACUGUUGAUCUUUAUAUUUGUUUAACCUCAGUAGGGUCCUCACCUUCCUCGCCACUACCCAACCGAGGUUAGGCUUGGCACUUACUGAGUACCGUUGUGGUGUACUCAUGCCCCUUCUGCGCAUGUCUUUCAUGUGCAGAUCCAGAUACCGCUGAUCAGGCCUACCAUCCUUGAGGGAGGCGACUACUUAGAGACUUCGAGGUACAUCUGCCGCGUCCGCAGACUGAGGAGUCCCUUUCUAUUCUUGUCUUUUAGUAUUUAGCCCUUUUGUACUUUCUGUUCUUAUUAGACAAAUUCUGGAGUUAGAGCUAUGUAGUAUUUCCUUUUCUUAGCUUGUGAUCCGUGGGUUUCCAGGUCUUUGAUUUAGAUAUUGGUUUUUGAGACUUAUAUAUGGUGUAUACUGAGUGGCACAUUUAAACAUUAUUAUUGUUAUAUUUUUGUUUUUAAAUUGUUUUACUUCCGCAA